ACGGGAGGCAGCAGUGGGGAAUAUUGCACAAUGGGCGCAAGCCUGAUGCAGCGACGCCGCGUGGGGGAUGACGGCCUUCGGGUUGUAAACUCCUUUCGCCCACGACGAAGCCCUUCGGGGUGACGGUAGUGGGAUAAGAAGCACCGGCUAACUACGUGCCAGCAGCCGCGGUAAUACGUAGGGUGCGAGCGUUGUCCGGAAUUACUGGGCGUAAAGAGCUCGUAGGUGGUUUGUCGCGUCGUCUGUGAAAGUCCAGCGCUUAACGCUGGGAUUGCAGGCGAUACGGGCUUACUUGAGUGCUGUAGGGGAGACUGGAAUUCCUGGUGUAGCGGUGAAAUGCGCAGAUAUCAGGAGGAACACCAAUGGCGAAGGCAGGUCUCUGGGCAGUCACUGACACUGAGGAGCGAAAGCAUGGGUAGCCAACAGGAUUAGAUACCCUGGUA
rnacentral:rRNA from 1 species